UUAGAUACCCUAUUAUUUUAAGCUAUAUAUUGGUAGUAAUUAAUAAUUUAUGAAAUCAUAAGAUUUUGGCGGUAUUUUAAGCUUAUUAGAGGAAUUUGCUCUGUGAUGGAUACAACGCCUCGAUCUUACUUAAUUUGGUUUUAAAAGUCAGUUUGUAUACCACUAUAUUUAAUUAUAUUGAAUAAUUAUAUUUAAGAUUUUUAUAAAAAAAUAUAUUAAGUCAAGGUGCAAUUAAUAAUUAUGAAUGAAGUGAAUUACAUUAAUUUUAAUUUUAUUAAAAUAUUGAAAAAAAAAUUUUUAGGAUUUAAUAGUAAAA
rnacentral:rRNA from 1 species